UGUCAAUUGGGCACUUGGAGUUUUUCUAUGACCAGGCCCCAGAGAGCAUGAGGAGCACUGCAAUGGCACUAUUUUGGACUGCAAUUUCUGUUGGAAACUAUGUGAGUACCCUUUUGGUUACUUUGAUCCACAAGUUCAGUGCUGGACCUAAUGGCUCAAAUUGGCUCCCUGAUAACCUCAACAAGGGGAAGUUGGAGUACUUUUACUGGGUCAUCACAUUGCUGCAGUUUUUCAAUCUUAUUUACUACUUGGUUUGUGCCAAAUUGUACACUUACAAGCCAAUUCAGGUCCAUGACAAAGGGGAUAGCAGUUCAGAUGGGAACCAAAUUGAGCUCGCCACUGCUAUUUGAGAGCUUCUUACCCUUUUAAUGACCAUGAUCCACUCUAGGAGACACAUCUGCUGUAUAUAAAUAAUUAUCAUUACUAAACAGUGGUGGAAAAAAUGCAUCUGUUAUCUUUUAACAUGGUUUGC
rnacentral:lncRNA from 1 species